CCAAGGUGCCAUUUUGUGAAGCACAUGUGAAUACGGUGAGAAGGGUGGGAGAAGAUAUUUUCUGAAACGCAACGUGAUGUAGACGCUGAAAAGAGCUGUGCAACAAGUGAUGGUGCAAGAACGGAAUAAUUGGAGACCAGCCCUGUGGAACAACAUAGAGAAGUUGUAAUUUGAUGCUUAAUUGUCU